UACGGAGGGUGCAAGCGUUAUCCGGAUUCACUGGGUUUAAAGGGUGCGUAGGCGGGCAGGUAAGUCCGUGGUGAAAUCUCUGAGCUUAACUCAGAAGCUGCCAUGGAUACUAUUUGUCUUGAAUGUUGUGGAGGUAAGCGGAAUAUGUCAUGUAGCGGUGAAAUGCUUAGAUAUGACAUAGAACACCAAUUGCGAAGGCAGCUUACUACACAAAUAUUGACGCUGAGGCACGAAAGCGUGGGGAUCAAACAGG
rnacentral:rRNA from 1 species